rnacentral:rRNA from 1 species
GACGAACGCUGGCGGCGGGCUUAACACAUGCAAGUCGAACGGAAAGGCCCUGCUUUUGUGGGGUGCUCGAGUGGCGAACGGGUGAGUAACACGUGAGUAACCUGCCCUUGACUUUGGGAUAACUUCAGGAAACUGGGGCUAAUACCGGAUAGGAGCUCCUGCUGCAUGGUGGGGGUUGGAAAUUUUCGGCGGUUGGGGAUGGACUCGCGGCUUAUCAGCUUGUUGGUGGGGUAGUGGCUUACCAAGGCUUUGACGGGUAGCCGGCCUGAGAGGGUGACCGGCCACAUUGGGACUGAGAUACGGCCCAGACUCCUACGGGAGGCAGCAGUGGGGAAUAUUGCACAAUGGGCGGAAGCCUGAUGCAGCAACGCCGCGUGCGGGAUGACGGCCUUCGGGUUGUAAACCGCUUUCGCCUGUGACGAAGCGUGAGUGACGGUAAUGGGUAAAGAAGCACCGGCUAACUACGUG